CCAACGUGCAAAGCCCUGCAGGCCACUCUCCCAGGCUCUGUCCUGGUGGCACGGGGGAGCAUAGACUCUGUCCUUCUGAAGGUCCCUUUCCGCAAAGCUGGAGAUGAAGCUGGGCUUCUAGUCUCCUCCUGCGUGUCCCUGUGACUCCCGAGUCCUGAGGGUGAUUGAUGACUGAGGAGACAAACCACGCAGGAAACAAUU